rnacentral:lncRNA from 1 species
UGUCAACAUGUCAACUCAAAAACUCUUUAACCAAUUUGCAUUAAACUUUGGGAAAUUGUUUAUAUCUAUUGACGUGAGCUCUCCCCUUUUUUUAUGAAUAUAAAUUUUAGAUUUUAAGUUUCUGGGUAAUGGGUUUUCAUUUUUUUUUACAUAAAUAAGGCCGUUAGUUUUCUCGUUUGAAUUGUUUUACAUUGUCUUAUUGGGGCCUUUUAUAGCCGACUAUGCGGUAUAGGCUUUGCUCAUUGUUGAAGGCCGUACGGUGAACUAUAUUUGUUAAUGUUUGUGUCAUUUUGGUCUUUUGUGGAUAGUUGUCUCAUUGGCAAUCACACCACAUCUUCUUUUUUAUAUUUUAUUAAAAAAAAUUGGUGGUUUUUUUUUCAGUUUUCUGAUAAUAUCUCAAAAAUGCUUUCACAAAGCAAGGAAUUUCGGUGAACUGUUUAUAUCUGUUGACAUGAUGUCACUUUCAAUUUUUAUAAAUUUUAUAUAAAUUUUACGUUUCCGAGUUAACGGGUUUUAUUAAUUAAAAAGGGGGAAUUUUCCAGUUUUCAGACAUUAACACAAAAAUGUUUU